CGCGUAGGCGGUUUUUUUAAGUCAGAUGUGUAAUCCCCGAGCUUAACUUGGGAACUGCAUCUGAGACUGGAAGGCUAGAGUACUGGAGAGGGUGGUGGAAUUCCUCGUGUAGCGGUGAAAUGCGUAGAGAUGAGGAGGAACACCAGUGGCGAAGGCGGCCACCUGGACAGUAACUGACGCUGAGGCGCGAAAGUGUGGGUAGCAAACAGGAUUAGAUACCCUGGUAGUCCACGCUGUAAACGAUGAACACUUGGUGUGGAGGGAGUUGACCCCUUCCGUGCCGGAGCUAACGCGUUAAGUGUUCCGCCUGGGGAGUACGGUCGCAAGGCUGAA
rnacentral:rRNA from 1 species